GUGCUCUUUUCAGUAGUACAUAAACUAAAUUUGGAAUGAUACAGAGAUUAUCAUGACCCCUGUGCACAGAUUAUGUGCAAAUUUGUGAAGCAUUCCAAAUGUAA
ensembl:snRNA U6 U6 spliceosomal RNA